rnacentral:rRNA from 1 species
ACUCAAUAGAUACCCGGGUAGUCCACGCCCUAAACGAUGUCUACUAGUUGUUGGUGGAGUAAAAUCCAUGAGUAAACGCAGCUAAACGCGUGAAGUAGACCGCCUGGGGAGUACGGUCGCAAGAUUAAAAACUCAAAGGAAUUGACGGGGGCCCGCACAAGCGGUGGAUUAUGUGGAUUAAAUUCGAUGCAACGCGAAAAACCUUAACCUGGCCUUGACAUGCCACUAACGAAGCAGAGAUGCAUUAGGUGCCCGUAAGGGAAAGUGGACACAGGUGCUGCAUGGCUGUCGUCAGCUCGUGUCGUGAGAUGUUGGGUUAAGUCCCGCAACGAGCGCAACCCUUGCCAUUAAUUGCCAUCAUUUAGUUGGGCACUUUAAUGGGACUGCCGGUGACAAACCGGAGGAAGGUGGGGAUGACGUCAAGUCCUCAUGGCCCUUAU